GCGCCCGUAGCUCAGUGGAUAGAGCGUCAGCCUCCGGAGCUGGAAGUCGCUGGUUCGAGCCCAGCCGGGCGUACCA
rnacentral:tRNA from 1 species